GGCGAAAUGCUGAAGGGCUCUCCUAUUCGGGGGAAUUCGGUAGUGAUGUAUAAGGUAUGAAAGAUGUAGCCUGCAGAGAGCCGGCACUAUCUCUACUGCUGCUGCUGCUGCCACCGCUGCCGCCGCCGCCGCCGCCACUACUGCUGCCAGCAGAGCUGUUGGGAGUGAGCCUCUCUUCUCCCAGAUAACCAGCUCCGUGGCAUCUCCCGCUCCUUGGCCCUACGCGGACCUCCCCGCCCCAGGGAACAAAAGCAGAGUCCAGCCGCCCUGUUCUGCAGCCAGAGGAUGAUGAGUCGAGUGGGCUGAGCGGAGAGUGUGGUCCUCAGCGGUUGGAAGGUAUAAAGAGAGGAGUAAAUGGGCAUCUAACAACAGCAGGACACCCUGCGGUGGCUCAUUGCACCCAUCCUACAGACCCUGGCUUAUCAGAGGACAACAUGCUUUUGAAAUGCCACAUUAUUUUGUAAGUACAUUUCACGUCCGAAAGUCCCACUAAGUGUGAAAUACCGAAGACUUAUUGCUUGCGAUUCCGUUCUUUGUUGCUCCCGGGCUCCAGCACAAGGAUGUUAAAAUGGCCAUUUCCAUCAUCAGUCUCCUGACUUCCCGCUCAUCUUCUCCAAAUCAGUCAUCCAUCUCCCUCCCCCUCUUCUCUCUGUUGCCUCCCAUUUCUUCACCCUUUUGUUCAUUUAAGUGGGUUUCUUCCGCUGUCCCUUCUUUCCUUCCUUCCUUCCUUCCUUCCUUCCUUCCUUCCUUCCUUCCUUCCUCCCUCCCUCCCUUCCUCCCUCCCUCCCUCUCUCUCUCCUUCUUUAAUAGGUUUUCUUCCCUCCUUUCCUAUCAUUUGUUUGUUUGUUUCUCUCUUCCUCUCCUCCAUCCAUAAGUGUCUUUUCAUAGGGCAUCAUAAAACUGUAAACCUCAGCACACUGACUUGGGGCCUCAUAUUUAUUUGUUAUAGAGACUGCCAUGAGCAUUGUAGAAUUUUAACAGUGCCCUGAAUCCAGGAACCAAUCCCUCCUCCUCCCUGUGCUGUUCACCAAACAUGUGCUCAAGGCAUCACCAAGUGUCUGCAGAGGGGUGGAGGAGCUGGAGCUGUAC
rnacentral:lncRNA from 1 species